ensembl:snoRNA SNORA74 Small nucleolar RNA SNORA74
UCCAGUGGUAGUCAGCUGUCCAGGACAUUGCCAUUCCUGUGAUAGUGUUACACAACUGGUAGAUUAAUAGCCUGUCCUCUUAAUCUGAUGGCCACCAUCACUGUUCUAGUGACUCCUGGUAUCAGCAGAGAGGGACUGUGCUUCCUUGAGAGUGUGCUAAGCAGCCAUUCUGACCAGUGCUAGUAGGGAAGCAGACACA